rnacentral:rRNA from 1 species
GAGGAUUAUACUGUCUCCCUUCUUUAAUCAGUGAAACUGAUCCCCCCGUGAAGAAGCGGGAAUAAACAUAUAAGACGAGAAGACCCUAUGGAGCUUUAAACUUAACACCACUUAUCUAAAACACUUCAUAAUAAACAGAUAAGCUUGUGCGCAUUUUAGGUUGGGGUGACCGCGGAGUAAAAUUUAACCUCCACGUUGAAAGGCCUUUAUCCUUAUCCAAGAGCCACAUCUCCAAGAAUCAACAAAUUGACAUUUAUUGACCCAAAUUUUUUUGAUCAACGAACCAAGUUACCCUAGGGAUAACAGCGCAAUCCAUUUCAAGAGCUCAUAUCGACAAAUG